UGGGGAAUUUUGCGCAAUGGGGGAAACCCUGACGCAGCAACGCCGCGUGGAGGAUGAAGUCCUUCGGGACGUAAACUCCUUUCGAUCGGGACGAUUAUGACGGUACCGGAAGAAGAAGCCCCGGCUAACUUCGUGCCAGCAGCCGCGGUAAUACGAGGGGGGCGAGCGUUGUUCGGAAUUAUUGGGCGUGAAGGGUGCGUAGGCGGUUUGGUAAGUCUGAUGUGAAAUCUAUGGGCUCAACUCAUAGACUGCAUCGGAAACUGCCGGGCUUGAGUGUGGGAGAGGUGAGUGGAAUUUCCGGUGUAGCGGUGAAAUGCGUAGAUAUCGGAAGGAACACCUGUGGCGAAAGCGGCUCACUGGACCACAACUGACGCUGAGGCACGAAAGCUAGGGGAGCAAACAGGAUUAGAUACCCUGGUAGUCCUAGCCCUAAACCAUGAUUGCUUGGUGUGACGGGUACCCAAUCCCGCCGUGCCGUAGCUAACGCGUUAAGCAAUCCGCCUGGGGAGUACGGUCGCAAGGCUG
rnacentral:rRNA from 1 species